rnacentral:rRNA from 1 species
GACGAACGCUGGCGGCGUGCCUAAUACAUGCAAGUCGAACGCAGUGGGGACGGGUGAGUAGCACGUGGGUAACCUCCCAUCAGAGGGGAUAACACUUGGAAACAGGUGCUAAACCGAUACUGAUUUAUCUACUCGCGGUGCAUUAGCUAGUGGGUGAGGUAACGGCUCACCAAGGCCACGAUGCAUAGCCGACCUGAGAGGGUGAUCGGCCACACUGGGACUGAGACACGGCCCAGACUCCUACGGGAGGCAGCAGUGGGGAAUAUUCGGCAAUGGGCGAAAGCCUGACCGAGCAACGCCGCGUGAAUGAAGAAGGUUUUAGGAUCGUAAAUCACUGUUGUUAGGGAAGCGGUAUCUAAAGAGAAAGCAACGGCUAACUACGUGCCAGCAGCCGCGGUAAUAC